GGUUCGGGGCGCUGCGCAGACCGAUCGGUGAUGACAUCGAAAAAUCGCGAGAGCCAUACAAGAGUCGUCUCGUCUCCUGUCACCCUCGCGGAGCAGAAGGGACGUUUGGACCCACUGCCAGCAGACUGUAACAGACAGAUGGAUUUUCACACAAACAACAGAAAACAUCAAGAGCAGUGAAGCUGGCACACACAGAAGAAGAAGCAGCAAAGGGGAGAAAGUCUGGAUAAUGAGGCACUGCUAGCAGGAGAUGAUUAUUCACUUUGUGCUUUGAGAAGACAAACUGUCCACUCUGUCUAGAGUUCAGCUCAAUAGCUGCAAAGCCAUAUGGGUAUUCUGCACACAAAUUAUGAUCUGACCGAAGUGAGAUAAAAUAACCAGCAGAUGGCGGGCAAGCGUCAGAAUCCUUUUGAUAUCAGACACACAUCAAUGAAGUUUGGACAUACCAAGAAGGUACUGACAUCCAAAUAUGCAGCACAUAUAAUUAGGAGUCCUUAACAAAAAUAAUGUGGUGAUAUUAUGUGAUGGCUUUAGAUGGUGAUGCUGUGCUACUAUCAUAUACCUUCACAUUUAUAUGGUACAUGCACAGCAUUACAGUAACCCUAACCCUUUGAUGGCGCACUUUACAAAAAAAAAAUUGUUAUUUGAAAGUUGUUUGACAUAACACUUGUAAAAUGAGAAGUGUUGAGAGGCCUCUGGGAGCAGGAUUGAGAAACACUGCAGUAUCAUUCUGUUGGUCAGUUUCAACAUCAACAUGAGGGUGAGUCAGGGGAGCUCUUAUCUUUUAAAGUUUAAUUAGUAACUACUGUAACUUACUAAAUGCAUCCAUGCCCAGAGCGCAUGCAGACACAGUUUUGCAUAUAUUGACACCACAUGGAUUUCAUCUUAUGAAGGCACUUGAACACUGGGAUUUUCUUUUUACACUGUACUAGUUUCUUGUUUUAGGAUUAAUGAUAGCAAAUGAAACCUCAGCGUCAUAUGCCGGUAAAGGGUAAAGCUCAGGACAGUGUGUUAUCAGGGCUCUUCACUGAAAGUUGAGUGGUUUAGGGUUACAUGCUCAAUAUUGCAGAUGAUGUUGUUUAAUAAUUAAUUCUUAUGAAAUCUAAUGUCAGCAUCACCACACUGAGACUUCAGCUACACUGACCUCUUUAUUCACAGUGGUAUUCACUACUAAACCUGGAGCAAUGUUAUAUUCUUUCAUAAGGAAACCAUGGUAAUAUGUGCAAAAUAUAGGUCUCUGACUUUAAAUGUAAUGAAGUCUUAUUCAAUUCAAAUCUACUAUUCUAGAUUCUAGAUUUUAUUUCCCACAAAAACAAACUGAUGUUAUUUAAUUGUAUUCUUUUAAGUUGCAGGACUUCUUAAGACAGAAAUAAAGCUUUUAACCUAACUCAAGAUGAAUUGAAUGUUAUAAAACCAAUUCUAUAAAGAGUAUGGCUUUGUUUACGCCAAUAAAAUUUCAUCUCUACAUAAGAAAUACGUUCAUAAAAAUUACACAGCCAUAACCAGUACUUGUCUGAACUGUGGCUCAGGGUUUGAAUUUAUAUAUUUGAUCACCCACUAUUCAGAAUAUAUAUAUAUAUAUUUUUAUCCAUUAGUGUUUAUGAAAGUUAUGGUUCUGCCUGUACAUGAAAGUAGUAAACCAAGUGCCAACUUAUCCUGUAUUUACAUUUUUAGAAGCAACAUUUAAUGAAUAUAGCAAUGUAAUCUAUUAAAUAAAUCACUCGGGCAGAAACUCAAGCGAAAUGAACACUGUGAACACUGUAGCUUGUAUUCAUGUGUGACUGCACCAGAAUGACUGCCCUAAUUUCAUUGUUCUUGUAUGGCAAUUAAGAAUCCUGAAUCUUGUAGGACAGUUAAGGACAUAAUGGUCAAAUGGUGUUUCCGGUUUCUUGGACAUCAGUCCUCCUCUGUCCUGCUGACAGUCUCUUUCCCUCAGAAUCAGUAAUCAGUCACAUUCAGCUCUGAGUGCUGCAUCUUGGUAAGGCCAGAGAGUAACAUAAAAUCAAUAUUUCAUUAACAUUUAAUGGCUUGGACUGGCUUAAGAGCACCAGGACAGAUGCGUGUACACCAGGUUUCAGAGUGACUUUAGCUGCUGACUUGAUUACAGUUUAGAUGUUCUUCCGGUGAUAGUUAUAGCACUGAUGCUUGAAGGCAAAGCUGAUCCCAGAUCAGCAGCCCCAUUGCUGAACACAGGAAGAUGUUGCUCACAUUCUGAUUUGUGACUCUAGUCUUGCAUUUGUGUUCAGAAUUGAUCUAUGUGCUGGCCUACAGUAAGAAGUACAGACUAUAAGCCGGGACAUACAGUUCUACUAAUGCAGAGGUCAGGGGUCCAUGAUUGGGAUC